CUCUCCUACGGGGGCAGCAGUGAGGAAUAUUGGUCAAUGGUCGGGAGACUGAACCAGCCAAGCCGCGUGAGGGAGGAAGGUACAGAGUAUCGUAAACCUCUUUUGUCAGGGAACAAAGGCGGGGACGUGUCCCCGGAUGAGUGUACCUGAAGAAAAAGCAUCGGCUAACUCCGUGCCAGCGGCCGCGGUAAUACGGAGGAUGCGAGCGUUAUCCGGAUUUAUUGGGUUUAAAGGGUGCGCAGGCGGUCUGUUAAGUCAGCGGUCAAAGCCCGGGGCUCAACACCGGCCUGCCGUUGAAACUGGUC
rnacentral:rRNA from 1 species